GUGCUCACUUGAGCAGCACAUAUACUAAAAUUGGAACAAUAGAGAUUAGCGUGGCCCCUGAGCAAUGAACACACACAAAUUCAUGAAGCAUUUCAUAUAUAU
ensembl:snRNA U6 U6 spliceosomal RNA